rfam:Lepisosteus oculatus linkage group LG11, whole genome shotgun sequence.
GCCAGCAGCCAUGUCACCCUGCAACUUACAAUUGGCAGCCCACUGAAGCUAAGCAGGUGUGAGCCUGGUCAGUACCUGGAUGGGAGACCUCCUGGGAAAAACUAAGGUUGCUGCUGGAA